UACCUCAUCAACCGGAAGGAAUCCCUUCCGGCCGAUGAGGUUCAACCAGAAGGAAUCCCUUCCCGCCGAUGAGGUUGUCAUACCUCAUCAACCAGAAGGAAUCCCUUCCGGUUGAUGAGUUU
rnacentral:miRNA from 1 species